rnacentral:rRNA from 1 species
UACGGAGGGUGCAAGCGUUAAUCGGAAUUACUGGGCGUAAAGCGCACGCAGGUGGCUGAGUCAGUCGAUUGUGAAAGCCCUGGGCUUAACCUGGGAAUUGCAGUCGAUACUACUCAGCUAGAGUAUGGGAGAGGGUAGUGGAAUUCCCGGUGUAGCGGUGAAAUUCGUAGAUAUUCGGAAGAACACCAGUGGCGAAGGCGGCUCACUGGACUGGUAUUGACGCUGAGGUGCGAAAGCGUGGGGAGCAAACAGG